rnacentral:lncRNA from 1 species
CAGGAAGCAUCAGAGCUUGGAGAGGGAAUAGCCAGGGGACCAGGGAGGCUGCUGGGGUGCUUUGCAGAUCCUUCCUUUGAAGGGUGGAAAUCUUCUGUGCCUACUUCAGUUUCAUAAGAGAUGACACCAGGCAAGAUCUUCACCUGAAAGACAUCACCUUCAUCUCUCUGUGAACAGCCUGCUUGCUAGGUGGCUGGAAGCCUCAUGGCCAUGUCAGAAUCCCUGAAGCCUUGCAGCAGCCCCAAAUCACCAUUCCUUGAUGCAAUGGAGUACCAUAAAAUUUAGAGGGAGAAGAAUUCUGUGAACAG